rfam:Diplodia seriata DS_831_scaffold_v01_644, whole genome shotgun sequence.
CCAGGAAUGUUCUUUCCUGACCCUACCUGAGGCGCGUCUGGGGUAACCCGGGGGUGUGAGAGCUAUCAGGGACAAUGGUUGAUUACUUAGGGUAAAUAAAGGCUAUGGUAAACGAAAGUGAAGAUAUAUCGAGGCUCGGUAAAAGGUG